AGCGAACGCUGGCGGCAGGCUUAACACAUGCAAGUCGAGCGGGCACCUUUCGGGGUGUCAGCGGCGGACGGGUGAGUAACGCGUGGGAACGUGCCCUCUGGUUCGGAAUAACUCAGGGAAACUUGAGCUAAUACCGGAUACGCCCUUUUGUGGAAAGGCUUGCUGCCGGAGGAUCGGCCCGCGUCUGAUUAGCUAGUUGGUGAGGUAACGGCUCACCAAGGCGACGAUCAGUAGCUGGUCUGAGAGGAUGAUCAGUCACACUGGGACUGAGACACGGCCCAGACUCCUACGGGAGGCAGCAGUGGGGAAUAUUGGACAAUGGGCGCAAGCCUGAUCCAGCCAUGCCGCGUGAGUGAUGAAGGCCUUAGGGUUGUAAAGCUCUUUUAUCCGGGACGAUAAUGACGGUACCGGAGGAAUAAGCCCCGGCUAACUUCGUG
rnacentral:rRNA from 1 species